rnacentral:rRNA from 1 species
UACAGAGACUGCAAGCGUUAUUCGGAUUCACUGGGCGUAAAGGGUGCGCAGGCGGCCGUGUGUGUGAGGCGUGAAAGCCCGGGGCUUAACCCCGGAAUUGCACCUCAAACUACAUGGCUAGAGCAUUGGAGAGGGUAGCAGAAUUCAUGGUGUAGCAGUGAAAUGCGUAGAUAUCAUGAGGAAUACCAGAGGCGAAGGCGGCUACCUGGACAAUUGCUGACGCUCAGGCAUGAAAGCGUGGGGAGCAAAAGGG